UGUGCGAUGAAUGCGCGAAACCAAGUCCCGCUGAAAAAUGGAUGCUACUUCGUCAGGCAUCUUUCGUAUCCCUACACCUCUCUACAUGUUUGAGCCAUGAAAAUGCAUCUGCUUAAAGCCUUUAGUGGCUGGAAUAUAUCCCACCGGCCCGUCACGGGGCUUUCCGUGCAGUAUCCACCAGCUAGCUCACAAGCUAACAGACUUUGGCCUAGUAAUAAUAACUAACUCUCAAUUGCACUGCUGUGAAUGAAGGCGCUCAAAUUCUAACACUGUGGGGGAGGCAACGUUGUAGCAACGGCCCAAAAAAAUCAGGAAAACUGAAAUGGUGAAAACAGUUUCAUGUUAUACAACCACAAUUGAAUUUAAGAAACAAAUCUCUGAAUUCACUUUAUUUUGAUUUUGUCUUUUUUUUUUUUUUUUACUAGAACAAUAACUGUACUUCUACUUAAGUACAAGCUCUGCAGGAAAAAGGAGAGAAUGUCCUUGCUCUCAAUUCCCACCAAGACAUCUUCAUUGUCACACCUUGCAUCCAACUUCUGACACCAAAGCAACAUGCACCGCAACGAGGGGAGCAUGUCAGACCACUCCACUUCACUCCCCGCUUCCACUUUGUGUUCUCUUCAUUACACUCCAAAAGAAUGUCAACAAAAGAGUGCGCCUAAAUAGCGAUGCAAAUGCAUGGAGCCCCACAAGAGCGAGUUUAUUUGUUACAUGAGCACUUACAAAUUUAUUGUUUAAUCAAAUGCAAGGCCUCUGAUUGCGUUGAGAUGUUGAAUCAAAAUUUGCUGCUUUUAUUUUUGUGUAUGUUUUGCAUAGUUAAUACUUGUGCACAAACCACAGCAUUAUGACGAACUGCACAGUCUAGGAGAUCAACAACAAGAGCUGCAACAGCCUUUACAAAGAUACCAAUGGUCAUAUCAGAAACAGCUCUCCGAAUGAUAUGGUGCAGGUGUACACUACUGAAAACUACAACCACAAAUUAAACAUAUUGUUAAAUUAAUACCUCUCUGACAGUGUCAGUCAUAACUGAACUUUAUAAUUUUUGUAAAGGCAGAAUAUUUGAUACAGCUAUUGUAGUACAAAGCGAGUGUUCGGGCCACUGAAAAAACAAAACAAAACUCAGACUACGAUGUUAUGGGGAAAAAACACUUAUUUUCUGAGAAUAAAGUACUAAAUUACAAGAAUUCAUUGGGCAUGGUGGUUUUUUGUAUGUUAAAUCAGAGGCACAAGAUGGGGGAAGGGACAGCUGAAAUCUUUUACAAAUCAUACAUACUGUCAAGUCGUAAUGACUAUUUUAACAAAUUGGACAAAAAGGGAUUUCUUUUUAUUAUUAUUAUUAUUAUUAUUAUUAUUAUUAUUGCAAACUCCCGUUUAAAUUAUACUUUUUGUUUUGACCCUCAUACUCUUUAUUACA